rnacentral:lncRNA from 1 species
UUUUUUUUUCUUUUUUUUGUUUUUCAGCUGCACCCACAGCAUCUGGAAGUUCUCAAGCCAGGGACUGAAUCUGAGCCACAGCUGCAACAAUUCCAGAUCCUUUAAUCCACUGUACUAAGCUGGGGAUUGAACCUGUGCCUCCACAAAGACAAGCUGUAUCAUUAACCCCCUGUGCCAAAUUGGGAAUUCCUUCUUAAGGGAAAUAGGUUUAUAUGUACUUAUAAUUAGUCUAGAUUCUAAAUGAUGUGAAUGGAAAGAAUAUUAUUGUAAUAUGUUAAGAAUCUGCUAUAAUAAUUUUUGGAGGGCAAAAAUACUUACGGAGCGUAGCACCAUCUAAUGUUAUGCUGCUUAGUGAAGCACUAUGUCUUGAUAAUAAAUCAUUGGAAUGAAAAGCAAGAGAUGGACUUUGUUGUGAGAUUUUCUUUUGGUAAUUCCUCACCUAUUCCUACUAGGAAGAGAGCCAAUAUACUAGAGAACGGCAUCUGCUACCUAGGGUUGCUCUUUACUGCCUUAGCUUUAUCAGCAGAAAGAAUAAAAAGUAUGAAUUGAGAGCAGUUUUAUCUUCUAUUUAACUGUACCUGAUUAAAAUACACAUAUAAUUAGAAGUUUAUUUCUGUAAAGAGUUAUUAAAAUGGAUAUUUUCAUGCCAUUUAAAACAUAAUAUAUUCUACAGAAGAAUAAUAUUUUUGUGUUGAAUUUUCAUGACAUGAAUUUAUUUAAACUACUAAAUUCUCAAACACUGUGAAGCAUGCUGGGUUAAUUAGCACUAAAGAGCAAAAUAUCAUUAUGCAUUAUUUAAAGUAGAAUCUUCAAACUAUUGUGGUGAGAUUUAUGUACUAGUACGUUUUUGAGAAAUAUAAUUUAAUGCUGCUACAGAGUAUAAGUGAUAUAAGGUAAAUUGAAUCAUAAAAUAAAGCAGCUUUUUUUUCUCCUCAGUCUUUAUGAAAAGUACAAGAGAAAGAAACAAUAAUUUACUUGAAAGUUUUUCUUUUUCUUAAUGAAAAAAGUCAGAAAUAGAAAGACAAAUAUGAUAUGAUAUCACUUAUAUGUGUAAUCUAAAUUAUGGCAUGAAUGAACCGAUCUACAAAACAGAAACAGACUCACAGACAUAGAGAACAGACUUGUGGUUGCAAAGGAGGAGGAGAGAGGGAGUGGGAUGGAUGGGGAAUUUGGCGUUAGUAGAUACAGACUAUUACAUUUAGAAUGGAUAAGCAAUGAGGUCCUCAUAUAUAGCACAGGGAAUUAUAUCCAAACUCUUAAGAUGGAACAUGAUGGAAGAUAACAUGAGAAAAAUAAUGUAUGUAUAUGUAUUACUGCGUCACUUUCCUGUACAGCAGCAAUUGACACAACAUUGUAAAUCAACUAUACUUUAAUAAAAAUACACACUAAAAAUAAAAAAAAUUGCUGCAAAUGGCAUUAUUUUGUUCUUUUUUCAUGGCUGAAUAUAUUAUAGAAAACUGUCUCUUAGCACAUCAGAGGGAGCCUCUGAGAGAAUACUACUCCAUCUCCACCACAGUGUAGAAUCUUUGAUACUUGAUAUUGUUUAUGGAAUUUCAUAAAUUUUUACAUCAAACCUUUCCAGACAAAACAUGGCAAAAGUGUAUCCAGUUCAUUUACCUCCUCAUCUGUAUGGGCACAUAAUCUUACACAGUAUGUGAUCAAAAAUAUCAAUUGAAUGAAUUUUUGUAGGAUAUUUGUAAAAAGUAGAAUUUUCCAACGUAUUCUUUUUCUCCAUCUGGGAAGAGAGGUUUCUAUUUCUAAUUCAGCUCAAUUUGAAUAUGGAGUAAUUUAAAUAGGAAUCUCUCUGCUUGAGAUGGAUCAUGGAUUUCCUCCUCAGAGUGGUAUGAAGACACUUGUUUUUUUCCUGCCAAGGAUUUAAUUAGAAUCAUGUUAUAGGGAUUUGGAUGCUUAUCUGAUGACAUUCUCUACUAUCCCAGCAUUCUGCAAAUUGAUUGGGGCAAUACAACAUUAUUCUGAGAAGAAAUCCUCAUUUGGAUUCCCCUGGGCCUCAUUUCUUCCAAACUGAAUACUACCAACACAGUAACCUCAUACAGGUGGUUACUGCUUUGGUUCUGCUGAUGUUUGUGUUGUGAUGCUUAGAAGGAGAGUGGGAGGACAGAGAAAACAUCUAGAGAGUUAAUGACCAAACAUGGAUAGUGGGACAUGCCAUAGAGAGGGCAGGUUUCAGAAGAGCCUGAGUGCACAUAGAUGCACACCUUGCAGUACUAAGACCUUAUCUAGUUUCCACACUUGUCCUCUCACCAAGCUGCACACUCUCAGAAUGAGACCUUGUCUGCUGUUUCUCUCUUUAUCCCUUAACCUUUAUCCCUUCUCUGGUCAUUUUCAUCUGCUGAAGGUAACUGGUACUCUGUGGGCCAACUUCCUUUAAAAUCAACAAAUCUGAUUUGACAAUCAUGUCUUUAGCAGAAAAUACAGAAAAACAAGUCCUAUUUCAAGUUUCUUUAAUAAAAAAUCACUGUCUGCCUACUGUGUGUAAAGCACUUUUACAUAUGGUGUCAAAUUUACUUCUGGGUGGUCAAUCCCCAUUUGAUAUAAAAAUGAAUACUCUCACGUAUUAAAUCAUUAGUAACUUUAGCAAAUAAAUAUUAGUAUUGGGGUUCAAACCUUUGUCUACUUGAGCCAAAGUUUGCACAGGGCAAAAUAGGAAAAAGCAAAUACCAGCAUGUAAUUAUUAGCAG